CCUACGGGAGGCUGCAGUAGGGAAUCUUCCACAAUGGGCGAAAGCCUGAUGGAGCAACGCCGCGUGGGUGAAGAAGGUCUUCGGAUCGUAAAACCCUGUUGUUAGAGAAGAAAGUGCGUGAGAGUAACUGUUCACGUUUCGCCGGUCUCUAACCAGAAAGCCACGGCUAACUACGUGCCAGCAGCCGCGGUAAUACGUAGGUGGCAAGCGUUAUCCGGAUUUAUUGGGCGUAAAGGGAACGCAGGCGGUCUUUUAAGUCUGAUGUGAAAGCCUUCGGCUUAACCGGAGUAGUGCAUUGGAAACUGGGAGACGUGAGUGCAGAAGAGGAGAGUGGAACUCCAGGUGUAGCGGUGAAAUGCGUAGAUAUAUGGAAGAACACCAGUGGCGAAAGCGGCUCUCUGGUCUGUAACUGACGCUGAGGUUCGAAAGCGUGGGUAGCAAACAGGAUUAGAUACCCGUGUAGUC
rnacentral:rRNA from 1 species